CCUACGGGUGGCAGCAGUGAGGAAUAUUGGUCAAUGGACGAGAGUCUGAACCAGCCAAGUAGCGUGAAGGAUGACUGCCCUAUGGGCUGUAAACUUCUUUUAUAAAGGAAUAAAACGAGGCACGUGUGCCUUUUUGCAUGUACUUUAUGAAUAAGGAUCGGCUAACACCGUGCCAGCAGCAGCGGUAAUACGGAGGAUCCGAGCGUUAUCCGGAUUUAGUGGGUUUAAAGGGAGCGUAGAUGGGUUGUUAAGUCAGUCGUGAAAGUUUGCGGCUCAACCGUAAAAUCGCAAUUGAUACUGGCAGUCUUGAGUACAGUUGGGGUAGGCGGAAUUCGUGGUGUAGCGGUGAAAUGCUUAGAUAUCACGAAGAACCCCGAUUGCGAAGGCAGCUUACUAAACUGUGACUGACAUUGAUGCUCGAAAGUGUGGGUAUCAAACAGGAUUAGAUACCCCUGUAGUC
rnacentral:rRNA from 1 species